CAUUAUACAGCGAAACUGCGAAUGGCUCAUUAUAUAAGUUAUCGUUUAUUUGAUAGUACCUUACUACUUGGAUAACCGUGGUAAUUCUAGAGCUAAUACAUGCUAAAAAUCCCGACUUCGGAAGGGAUGUAUUUAUUAGAUUAAAAACCAAUGCCCUCUGGGCUCCUUGGUGAUUCAUAAUAACUUUUCGAAUCGCAUGGCCUUGCGCCGGCGAUGGUUCAUUCAAAUUUCUUCCCUAUCAACUUUCGAUGUUUGGGUAUUGGCCAAACAUGGUCGCAACGGGUAACGGAGGGUUAGGGCUCGACCCCGGAGAAGGAGCCUGAGAAACGGCUACUACAUCCAAGGAAGGCAGCAGGCGCGCAAAUUACCCAAUCCCGAUUCGGGGAGGUAGUGACAAUAAAUACUGAUACAGGGCUCUUUUGGGUCUUGUAAUUGGAAUGAGUACAAUUUAAAUCUCUUAACGAGGAACAAUUGGAGGGCAAGUCUGGUGCCAGCAGCCGCGGUAAUUCCAGCUCCAAUAGCGUAUAUUAAAGUUGUUGUGGUUAAAAAGCUCGUAGUUGAACCUUGGGCCUGGCUGGCCGGUCCGCCUCACCGCGUGUACUGGUCCGGCCGGGCCUUUCCCUCUGUGGAACCCCAUGCCCUUCACUGGGUGUGGCGGGGAAACAGGACUUUUACUUUGAAAAAAUUAGAGUGCUCCAGGCAGGCCUAUGCUCGAAUACAUUAGCAUGGAAUAAUGAAAUAGGACGUGUGGUUCUAUUUUGUUGGUUUCUAGGACCGCCGUAAUGAUUAAUAGGGACAGUCGGGGGCAUCAGUAUUCAAUUGUCAGAGGUGAAAUUCUUGGAUUUAUUGAAGACUAACUACUGCGAAAGCAUUUGCCAAGGAUGUUUUCAUUAAUCAGGAACGAAAGUUAGGGGAUCGAAGACGAUCAGAUACCGUCGUAGUCUUAACCAUAAACUAUGCCGACUAGGGAUCGGACGAUGUUAUUUUUUGACGCGUUCGGCACCUUACGAGAAAUCAAAGUGCU
rnacentral:rRNA from 1 species